CGAUCUCAGACAGACCAGCGA
rnacentral:rRNA from 1 species